CAAACCAAUAACCAGUACGGGCCUUGAGAGAGGGGGCCCGGAGAUGGACACUGAGAGAAGGGUCCAGGUCCUACGGGGCGCAGCAGGCGGGAAACCUUCGCAAUGCGCGAAAGCGUGACGAGGUUAAUCCGAGUGGUUCCCGCUGAGGGAAUCUUUUGUCGGCUCUAAAAAGGCCGGCGAAUAAGGGGAGGGCAAGUCUGGUGUCAGCCGCCGCGGUAAUACCAGCUCCUCCAGUGGUCGGGGCGAUUAUUGGGCCUAAAGCAUCCGUAGCCGGUUCUGUAGGUCCUCUGUUAAAUCCAACGGCUUAACCGUUGGCCCGCAGAGGAUACCGCAGGACUAGGAGGCGGGAGAGGCAGACGGUACUCUACGUGUAGGGGUAAAAUCCUUUGAUCCGUAGAAGACCACCAGUGGCGAAGGCGGUCUGCCAGAACGCGCUCGACGGUGAGGGAUGAAAGCUGGGGGAGCGAACCGGAUUAAAUACCCGGGUAGUCCCAGCCGUAAACGAUGCGAGCUAGAUGAUUC
rnacentral:rRNA from 1 species